ensembl:snRNA U1 U1 spliceosomal RNA
AGACUUACAUGGCAGGGGGAUACCGUGAUCAUGAAAGUGGUUUUCCCAGGGUGUGGCUUAUCCACUUGAACCCUGGAUGUGCUGAUCCUUGUGAUUUCCCCAAAUGUGGGAAACUUGACUGCAUAUAAUACAUGGUAGCAGGGGACUGCAUUCAUGCUCUCCCCUG